rnacentral:rRNA from 1 species
AUGACGUCAAGUCCUCAUGGCCCUUAUGACCAGGGCUACACACGUGCUACAAUGGUCGGUACAAGAGUUGCGAUACCGUGAGGUGGAGCCAAUCUCAUAAAGCCGGUCUCAGUUCGGAUUGGGAGUCUGCAACUCCGACUCCAUGAAGUUGGAAUCGCUAGUAAUCGCGGAUCAGCAUGCCGCGGUGAAUACGUUCCCGGGCCUU